GACGAACGCUGGCGGCGUGCUUAACACAUGCAAGUCGAACGGUGAACGAGGGAGCUUGCUCCCUCCGGAUCAGUGGCGAACGGGUGAGUAACACGUGAGCAAUCUGCCCCGGACUCUGGGAUAAGCGUUGGAAACGACGUCUAAUACCGGAUACGACGCGGGAGGGCAUCCUCUCCGCGUGGAAAGAACUUCGGUUCGGGAUGAGCUCGCGGCCUAUCAGCUUGUUGGUGAGGUAACGGCUCACCACGGCGACGACGGGUAGCCGGCCUGAGAGGGUGACCGGCCACACUGGGACUGAGAAACGGCCCAGACUCCUACGGGAGGCAGCAGUGGGGAAUAUUGCACAAUGGGCGCAAGCCUGAUGCAGCAACGCCGCGUGAGGGACGACGGCCUUCGGGUUGUAAACCUCUUUUAGCAGGGAAGAAGCGAAAGUGACGGUACCUGCAGAAAAAGCACCGGCUAACUACGUG
rnacentral:rRNA from 1 species